rnacentral:rRNA from 1 species
UAGGGAAUCUUCGGCAAUGGGGGCAACCCUGACCGAGCAACGCCGCGUGAGCGAAGAAGGUUUUCGGAUCGUAAAGCUCUGUUGUAAGAGAAGAACGAGUGUGAGAGUGGAAAGUUCACACUGUGACGGUAACUUACCAGAAAGGGACGGCUAACUACGUGCCAGCAGCCGCGGUAAUACGUAGGUCCCGAGCGUUAUCCGGAUUUAUUGGGCGUAAAGCGAGCGCAGGCGGUUAGAUAAGUCUGAAGUUAAAGGCUGUGGCUUAACCAUAGUACGCUCUGGAAACUGUUUAACUUGAGUGCAGAAGGGGAGAGUGGAAUUCCAUGUGUAGCGGUGAAAUGCGUAGAUAUAUGGAGGAACACCGGUGGCGAAAGCGGCUCUCUGGUCUGUAACUGACGCUGAGGCUCGAAAGCGUGGGGAGCAAACAGGAUUAGAUACCCUGGUAGUCCACGCCGUAAACGAUGAGUGCUAGGUGUUGGGUCCUUUCCGGGACUCAGUGCCGCAGCUAACGCAUUAAGCACUCCGCCUGGGGAGUACGACCGCAAGGUUG